UGGAAAUAUGAAAUAAGAGCAGGACAGCACUCCCCUUGGUUAGGAUGUAAGAAUUCCUGAUGGACUUUUUUAACCAUGUUUAAGACUGUCACUUACUUUGUGGCAUCUAACGUAUAUCC
rnacentral:ncRNA from 1 species